rnacentral:lncRNA from 1 species
UUCCUGGAUCCGUUCCUGGAUCGGGAGCUGUGAGGAGGCUGGGGCUCGGGCACGAUGCACGGGAGGCUGCACCCGGCCUCCAUCUCCACGCGUGCAGCGGCGACCCCGGGAGGAGCUCGAGCUGCAGCGGUGGUCCACGGGGCCGGCGUCGGCAGGAGGAGCGUCGGCCGCAGAGACGGCCGGUCCGUUCGGUUUUCGCGCAGGAGAAUAUUGUAGGGUGGUGUUGCUUAGCAAGCUUGCCUGCAGUAUGCAGUUUUAUACCAAUUUUUGUGUUUGCUAAUAUAUUUGGUUUGGUUGAUUCAAGUUUUUGAUUUAUGCACAUACAUAUUGUAGAGUGUAUUGUCCCCUAGCAGACUUGAUUUUAAUACGCUAUGUGCAGCUUUGAGACAAGUGACUAUUCUCUGGUAGUCAACUAACUCAUGGGUAAAUUAGAUGUCACAGCCAAAAAAAUUAUAUAGAUAAAUCAUGUGCAUUUUACAAGGCAAUGCUUAGAUGUUAUGAUGUUUUGUAGGAACAAGCAUGUGAUUCCCCUUGAGUGCCACGCAGCAGCAAGGCAGAGCAGAUCGAGUGGUAAAAGCGGUGGUGUUGUGUGACAUCCUUGCGCUAGCUCCCGUCGGUAUGAUGCCUUGUUUGGGUUUGCUUAUCCGAGAAUGAGCUGUGUGUUUGCCUGUGUGGUAGUUGUUGUCUUGGAUUUACGUAUUUGAACAAUGAGAUAGCAUGCGUAAUCAUUUGAUUGUGUGGUGCAGAUCUUAAUGAAGGUCCUGCCUGACUCAUGGUUGUCAAGCCAAACAGGUCUUGCAUCUAAGUAAUGCUAUGUAUUCUAUCAGUGCCCAUUCCUAAAUUACAAGAUCAUGCCUGCUGUUUACAAGAUCAUGCCUAUUGUUUAUAAGUGGAUUAUUAGGCCUUUCAUUGGCUGUAUGAACUUUGGGACUUUCGGGUCUUCUGUUAAAGAUGAUGUAGAAUGCAGUGAAAUUGUUCAUGCCCUUGAUGAAGAGCAUUUAUAUAUCUCAGUUUUUCUAUGGUUAAUUAACUAGAGAACUCAUCCAGGAGCAUUUAGAUAUCUCAGCUUUUUUCCCUGACAUGGAUUACUCAUAUUCCUGCCUAAAAAUGACCGCUCCCUUUUGUUAUUUGGAUCAGCUGAAGGAAUGCUCAGAUAAUCAAAUUAAGGUACAUUCAAGCUACAACUAACUUCGCAUCAAAGCAUUUAUGUAUCAUUAUUAGAUUUAUGUGAUAUUCUUCAAGUGUGAUUGUGUGUUUAAUUUUCCAGAUUUGAUUGGAAGCACCAUCUGUUUGUGGCCACAGGUGAGUUUGCAUUGGCUCAGAAAACUUCCCGCUCAUUUUUUUUACUUACGAGUAUCCUGAUCUCCAGACUAUUGCUACUUUUCUUUUUCCUUUUGUUGCUCCUCAAUUUAUUAUGACUCUUGAUUUCUAUGCCUGUGUGCAGGUGGGUUCUCUAUUGGCACAACAUGUCCCAUCUGGUUUUAGGAAUUGGCUGGACGCCUUCCUUCUUCUGAGUGUUUGAUCCUGUAAUUUUUUCUUGGGUUUUCUCUCUUCUCCUGGUUGCUACCUUAGUUCAGUCUUUUGUUGGUGCUCUUGCUUUAGAGAUUUCCUUUUAGUUCUAAUGGUUUGAGCCGUAGAAGUUAGUGUACAGUCCUAUAUUUUGCUUCCAUGGCUCCUGAAUGGAGAGCUGGACAUGCUUGGUUGGAGUCGCUGAGCUUACUGUCCCAUGUCUUCUGGUUGUGAGAGUUGAAUCUGCUUAGUUGGAAUUAUAAAAGAUUAGCGUGCAGUCCGUCCACGCCUCCUAAUUAGAUAGUUGUGCUUGGUUAGGGAGAUGCUUGGUUACAUUCCUGCCAACUAUAUGAAUCUCACAGCUUCUCGCAUGUACCAUCCUCUUAGACUUUUAGAUUUCCAAAGAAACUAAAUGAAAAUAUGGUGGCCUGGUCUCAAUAGUACAGCUUAAAGCAUUCCAUGCUUUAUAUUUUCUUUGAAAUUUGCUUUUGAAGAAUUAUGUAUAUAUGUUAGAUCCGGUGAGAAAAGGCGGUUCCCAGCAGAGGAUGCGACAGUGUUGGCCACAUUUGGUUUUCUACUUGGGUGUCUAAAUAUUCUCACAAUACUUGGCUCCCUCUCGCCCUUUGCGCCAUUGGCGCAACGAGUCAUCUAGUUGUAUUCAAACAGCAAGCAAAGCAAAAUAAAAUGACAUUGCAAGGAUAGCACAACUCAUGUGAAGAAGCAAAAAAUUAGGCUCAACCGAUACUAACCGAUAGUUGUUGAAGAGGAAAGGUGGGAUGCCUACCCGGGCAUCCCCAAGCUUAG